rnacentral:rRNA from 1 species
UGCCAGUGGUGUGGAUNUUUAUUGGGCCUAAAGCAUCCGUAGACUGGCUGGGCAAGUCCCCUGUUAAAUCCACCGAUUCAAUCGUUGGUGUGCGGGGGAAAUUGCUCGGNUNCGGGAACGGAUACGCCGACCGCAUUUCAGGUGUUCGGGUUAAAUCCUCCAAUCCCGGGAAGACCACCAGUGGCCAACGCUCUCNGCUAAAACUCGCUCUACAGAUAAGGAUCAAACCCGGGGACCGAACCCUGAUUANAUACCCGGGUAGUCCCACCUGUAAACCAUGCCAGCUAGGUGUUUGGGCAGCCACCUUCCGCUCUACUGCCGCAAGGAAGCUGGUUAAGCCUGCCGCCUGGGGAGUACGAUCGCAAGAUUGAAACUUAAAGGAAUUGGCGGGGGAGCACCACAAGGGGUGAAGCUUGCGGUUUAAUUGGAGUCAACGCCGGAAAUCUCACCGGGAGCGACAGCAGUUUGAAGGCCAGAUUAAAGGUCUUGCUAGACGAGCUGAGAGGAGGUGCAUGGCCGUCGCCAGUUCGUGCCGUGAGGUGUCCUGUUAAGUCAGGCAACGAUCGAGACCCGCGUCCUCUGUUGCUACUAGCUUUGUGCUGGGCACACUGAAGAGACCGCCGCUGAUAAAGCGGAAGAAGGAGCGGGCCACGGCAGGUCAGUAUGCCCCGAAUCUCCCGGGCCACACGCGAGCUGCAAUGGCAGGUUACAAUGGGUUCUAACCUCGAAAGGGGAAGGCAAUCCCGAAAAGCCCUGCCCGUAGUUGGGAUUCGAGGGUUGAAACUCACCCUCGGUGAACAUGGAAUCCCUAGUAAUCGCGUGUUCCACUUAGCCGCGCGGUGAAUACGUCCUUGCUCUUGGCACACACCGGCCGUCGUUCCACCCGAGCGACUCUUGGGUGAGGCGUGGUCUUUCCUUGGCUGCGUCGAAUCUGAGUUUCGUGAGGGGGGAA